CAAUUUUAUCCAGCCGGCACAAGACUUCCCAGUCCUCACCCUCACUACAGAUUACAGUGCUCUCACGCCUGUCAAAUUCCCACGAUUUUCCAUCCCUCGCUUUCUACUUUUUUUUAAAACCUCUACCCCUACGCGCCAGAUACAUACUCACAUUUUUCUCUCUUUCCGAAAACCCUAGUUUCCCCAGAAGAAGAAGAAGAAGAAAAAGAAGAAAUACACAGAAUGCCUCGAGAAAUCAUCACAUUGCAAGUAGGACAAUGCGGGAACCAGAUCGGCAUGGAAUUCUGGAAGCAGCUCUGCCUUGAGCACGGUAUUAGCAAAGAAGGCAUUCUCGAGGAUUUUGCUACUCAGGGAGGUGAUAGGAAAGACGUUUUCUUCUACCAAGCUGAUGAUCAGCAUUACAUACCAAGAGCUUUACUGAUAGAUUUGGAGCCUAGGGUAAUCAAUGGUAUUCAGAAUAGUGAAUACCGAAAUCUCUACAAUCAUGAGAACAUCUUUGUUUCAGAUCAUGGUGGUGGUGCUGGAAAUAACUGGGCUAGUGGAUAUCAUCAGGGAAAAGGUGUUGAAGAGGAUAUAAUGGACAUGAUUGAUAGAGAAGCUGAUGGAAGUGAUAGUCUUGAGGGAUUUGUUCUAUGCCAUUCAAUUGCUGGGGGAACAGGCUCAGGUAUGGGUUCAUAUCUGUUGGAGACGCUGAAUGAUCGAUAUAGCAAAAAACUGGUUCAGACAUACAGUGUAUUUCCUAACCAGAUGGAAACAAGUGAUGUGGUGGUCCAGCCCUACAACUCACUUUUAACACUCAAGAGACUGACACUAAAUGCUGAUUGUGUUGUUGUCCUCGACAAUACUGCACUUAAUAGAAUUGCUGUGGAACGACUACAUCUGUCGAAUCCUACUUUUGCUCAAACUAACUCUUUGGUAUCUACCGUAAUGUCUGCUAGCACAACCACAUUACGAUAUCCCGGUUAUAUGAACAAUGAUUUGGUUGGUCUUCUUGCUUCUUUAAUUCCAACACCAAGAUGCCACUUUCUUAUGACAGGAUAUACACCUCUAACAGUGGAACGCCAGGCUAAUGUGAUACGUAAAACUACUGUGCUUGAUGUGAUGAGAAGACUUCUGCAGACGAAAAACAUUAUGGUGUCCUCUUAUGCACGGACAAAAGAGGCUAGUCAAGCAAAGUACAUCUCAAUAUUGAACAUCAUUCAAGGAGAAGUGGAUCCUACACAGGUUCACGAAAGUUUGCAGAGGAUUCGAGAAAGAAAGCUCGUUAACUUUAUUGAGUGGGGCCCUGCUAGUAUACAGGUUGCUCUGUCAAGAAAGUCUCCAUAUGUCCAAACUGCCCACAGGGUAAGUGGUCUCAUGCUAGCAAGCCACACUAGCAUCCGGCACCUCUUCAGCAAAUGUUUGAGCCAAUAUGAGAAGCUGAGAAAGAAGCAAGCUUUUCUUGAUAAUUAUCGGAAAUUCCCAAUGUUUGCUGACAAUGAUCUUUCUGAAUUUGAUGAAUCAAGGGACAUAAUUGAGAGUUUGGUUGAUGAAUAUAAAGCCUGUGAAUCCCCAGAUUACAUCAAAUGGGGAAUGGAGGAUCCUGACCACAUUUUAACAGGAGAAGGCAAUGCGACUGGAACAGUGGAUCCAAAAUUAAGUUAAAGAGAAUUAUUUCUAGGACAAUCUGGAGGAAUGGUUGUAAAUAAAUGUGGACUACAUCAUAGUUGUUCCUAUUUUAUGGGAAGCUUGAUGAUUUGCGGUUUGUCAGAGUUGCAAUGUUUAUUGCUUAGCUUGAAUCUCUUAGAUGCUAUUCAGGUAUUGCGUAUUACUGGGCUGGAGGGUAAACGAGUAAAAAUUUCCGUGCGACCAUCGUGCCCCAUUUCACCUAAUAUCUCGCAAACAAGUGGCAACAUAACAUGUGCAGCAUAUUUGGUGACUUCUUACUUUUUUAUACGAUGUGAUGUGUGGGUUAUCUACGCUACCGAUUGGAUUUGUGGCAGGCCCUAGAAGACUUACAGGUUUGAAUCUGUAAGGUGAUUGGUGGUUCUCACUUGUUAGAUGCGUUGUUGGAGGUUUUAGUUACAGAUGACCUGAGUUAAUCGGUAUGUCUGAUCUGCAUUUAUUAGCUGGAGUAUGGAUCUCGCUCUUUUACAGUCUAUUAAUUGCAUUUGGAAUUCCAAUCGCCUAUUCCCUUGGGCCAGGAGAGCAGUGAGCGUCUUCCUGCUGCCCCUCCAAUCGUUUUCUGUGAGGCGUGCGUCCACCAUGCCCCUCAUAUUCUCUUUUAUUCAAUGGAGAUUUUAAUUAGCUGAGUUGUGUAAUAGAAUUUAUUAUUUUUCCUUUCUCACUUCAAAAUUAAAUUAUAAAUAGAUUUGAAAUACUAUUAA